UGAGAUCAUGACCUGAGCCGAAAUCGAGAGUCAGAUGCUUAACUGACGGAGCCACCCAGGCACCCCUCUCUUAGCUGUUUUUGAUGGGAGGGUCAGGAGGGGGAGACGGCAAAAGGGGAUGGGAGAGGAAGGGCUGUGUCUGCCUCUGCCAUCAUGAAUCAAGGCUGCACCCCAGCCUGGGUGCCGAGCGCGUGAGUGCCGGCUGGUGGAUCGCCCUUGCCUGUGCCCCCAACAUGUGGAACCGGUGUGAGUGUGCUCAGCUCCAGGGGUCGUGCAACGGAAAGAACAGAUGGAAGUUUUCAGGUCAUGGCGAUGGAGAGAGUUCCCUUUCCACAUAGCUAAAGAAAAAAAGGAAUACGUCAGGACUGUGAAAUUUUGAGAUGAGAAAGAAGGCACACCAGUAACACAGGUGGAGUAAAACGGAAACAGAUGCUCCUCAAGGAAGCUUUGUCCCCCUCUGGGCUCACAGAGGGUCUUUAGCUCCUGGAUGCACCUUCCUAUGCCUCACGGGUUCAUGAAGAUCCACCAUUCCAGCCGCUUGCACUGCUUGCGACCUUGCCCGAGAAAAGGUCCUCCCGCCCUCUCAUCUGGAACUUGUAUAUUCCAGAAACUCUUAGAGGAUGUUCUUUAUUACCACAUUUCUCAAGCUGUGGAUUUGACAAGCUGCAGAAUUUGAGUUCAUUUUAUUUUCAUUCAGAAAACAUAGGCACCUGGUUUUGAUAUGUAUAAAAAUCAGCAACAUGGAAACAAGCAUACCAAGCAAAGUUCAGAUGAGACAUGAAGGUAAAGAAAGAUUUCUUUGGUAUUUGGUGGGUGUCCUCACCAGGACAACUGUGAUAAUUAAGAUAUUCCUUCUUCCUUUAUUUAUUCAUUCCUUCAUCAACUACUCAGUGUGCAUUUACGCAUCCUAUGCAUUUUCUAGGAGCUGGUGAUAGAUCAGUGAGCGAAACAGACUAAAAUCUUUUUCCUCGUGGUGAUUAUACCCUACUGGGAAGAUACAUAAUAAACACAAUAAUAAGAAAAGGAUAUAUUCAUUUUAGGGGUGUUCGAAGAUGAUUAGUCUAUAGGAAAAUAUAAAAUAGGAAGAUCAGUUGUGUGGAGGGAAGGAAGGUCUCAGUUGUCCCAGUGAGAAUAGAGUAUUUGGGCAGAACUUUGAAGGAGAUGUGGAAUGAGCCAUAUGGGUAUUUGGAGGAGAGGGUCUUGCUCCAGAGAGCAGCCCAGACAAAGAUCUGAGGUAGAAAAGUGCUGAGCAUGGUCAGGGAAUAGCAGGAACUGAGAGAGAGAGGGAGAUGAGGUCAAGUCAUGAGGGUGGCAGUGUGUGUGGACAACCAUCCAAGAGAAGAACCAGGAACUCAGUCAAAGAAUUUGCCGCAGGCUUCAAGUCAAUGCACAGUUAAGCAACGUCAGUUUCACCUCCUGGAUUUCAGAUUCCUUUCCUCGUCUCCAUUCCCACUGCCUUGCCCUCCUUCAGCCUGCUGUCGGUUCUCCCCAGGGCGGCCUCACCUCUGACCCGGUUGGCCCCAUGUCUAUUCCUGUAUUCAACAACCCUUUCCCCACACUGCAGCCAGGCACCUAUAAUCAGCUCCCUUUUGGUCACGAGAGGCUAAAAUUUUUUAUGGCCUCUAAGUUUUGAUUUUACCCACCUAUCCAGGCUCCUCUGGCAGCACACAGCUCUGUGAUACCUCCCAUCACCGGAGCUGUACAGAGAUGCUUCUCUUUCCCAGAAAUCAAGGUCUUGUUCACUUCCCCACUCCCCGGGGCACCCUCCCCACAUACAUCAUAUUAACUGCUGCCUGUAUUUUCUCUAUCAGCUCACAGGUCCAUUUUUCAGGAAAAACUGACCUGCUGCCCGUGCCAUGUAUGUGCAUUUUGCAUAUUAUGGUCAUUUUGCUGACUGUAAUUGUGCUAGAUCAUCAACUUAAGGUUUAUAGAUGCACUUCUGGGAGUUUCUGUUCUUAGAAGAUUUGGGGAGCUAAAAGUGAAUCUGCUCAUUAAAAAAUAGUAUUUGAGAGGCACGCGGGUGGCCCAGCAGGUCAAGUGUCUGACUUCAGCUCAGGUCAUGACCUCACGGGUCAUGGAUUCCAGCCCCACCUCAGGCUCUGUGC